UGCCCAAAGGAGCCGUCAAUCCCUCCUUCUCUUCCCUCUCUUCUCUUCUCUCUCACAUCCCUCCCCCUCACGGUUCAGCAGUAGCCCCAGAGCCACGCCUCCGCCGUAGCUUCCAGCAGCCGCCAAUAGGCUGCGUUUGCCUCCUCACAGAAGCAGCCGUGGCUGCGUUCUUCCCCACCAACAAUCGUGUAGCAUUUUCGUGCCGCUAGCAACUGGCUGCUGGGCAGCCGGUUUUGGCCCUGCGCCACCGCCUCCGUGGUGACCUCCUCUCACUUCUUCAUCCUCUUGCUAGUUUAUUUUGUGCCCAUUUCGUAAGAGGAAAGUAGAGCCUUAGUUGAGUGAUUUUGUGACUUUUGAUCGUGCAGUGACGCUUACAGGUACGUACACGCAGUAACGAACUCUUAUAUGCAAUUUUUAUUUAAGACAUUAUUGUUCAUUGUAAUAAUAUGCACUGCAUCAAAAUUGAGAUACUAGCGAGUACGCCUUAUACGAAACGCCGUCGACUAUGAAAUUCUUGCGCUUAGAAUAGUUAUAGAGAAUGAAAGUGUUACCCCCCCUAUUUAUUUAAGAAUUAGAUUAUGCCUAAUUGUAGUUAGAAUGACUCCUUUAUAGGUGAAUUCAUAUUCUAUUGAGUGGCUCAGUGGGUUUUGGCGCGCUGCUAUCCCAGGGCGCUCAUUAAUAGUUGAGAGUGGAAGUUAUUCCCAUCUGAUAAGGUACUAGAUUAUGAUUAGCUGGCGUGACUUAACUGGAUUAUGUCCGGUUGUUUUAUUAGUCCCCUAGGUGAGGUUCGACGGGACCACCGUAAGGGGGGUAUGAGCAUGCUUGGGUCAUUGGGCGCCGGAUGGCCGAUAACGCCCCUUGACCGAAGUGUUACCAUGCGGGCCUUGCAAACCUCAAUAUGGUGGCCUCUUCAUUGGUUUAGUACCCCAGUGUGUUAGUUUUUCCCGAAGGUAGGACCCGAGAGGGUCAGAUGGAGGGGGCAUGAGCUCGUACUUUGCCAAUGCGCGCCGGAUGGCCGAUAACGCUCUUGGCCGUGUCACUAUGCCAGGAAGUAGAGAAAGAUCCAGUGAUAGAAAGUUAUUCAGUGAUAGAAAAUUUAUUCAUUGAUCGAAAAUUAUUUAAUGAUAGAAGGUUCAUUCUUUGAUAGAAAGUUUACACAUUGAUAGAAAGUUCACUUUUUGAUAGAACGUUUACUCAUUAAUAGAACAUCUACUUAUUGAUAGAAUAGUUCAUGCUAGUGAGAAGUGUGCCUAAGUUAAGUUACCUCAAGGGUAUUACAGAUUAUGAUCACACUUACCUGAAGAUAGACAAGCUCUAUAAGGUCAUGUGUUAGGUAUUCUGUUAAUGCCUUGGUCGAGUUGAUACUAUACGUGUUUUGCAAGAGUUUAUGUUUGAAAAGAGGAGCGUGAAGACCUGCAUUCUACCCAAGAGCACAUGGUUCGGGUUGGAAAGCACGUAAUGAAAUUAAGGAGUAUAAGUGGCCGAUAAACGGUUACUAUCUGUGCUUGCGUUUUAUGAAAUCAUCUUAUGUUGUUUUAUGAUAUAAUGCUAUCUAGUAGUUGGCCUUAUUAUAUUUGAUGUUAGUUACUGACGUGUACGUGUUUGUGUUUAUGUUUGAUUGUUGACGACUUUCUAUGAUUGUCCUGCUAUGACACAUUGGCCUUUGGUCUAAUGUCGAGCAGCAGGAGGAUUAUAGACUGGCGUAGCAAGUACUGGAGCUUCUUUUGCAUUGCAUUGCAUUUGGGGAGAGUGAUGAGGGCGAAGCAUAACCUGUGUCAUGUCGCCAUCUUUCGAUUUUGUAGCUCUUGUUAUCUUUUGUAAACAUUGGUUGUGUAUGUUUUGUUACGAGGCCUUGUUUCCUCCCUCGUAUAUUUGUAUUUCCGCUGCGUAGUUUAUAAUUCUGUAUGGUUUUAAGGAGUUAAGUCUUUUUAAAACGCAAACGUCGACACUGGAACCACGAUCCAUGCUUGGCAUGUUGAUGUGAGAAGCUGGCGACGAAUCAUUCCGCCGUGACAUAGUUUUGAUAGGCCGUUGGUGCCUUUACUUUAUUAGCUUCUAAAUAACUUAUUUUUCUACAAAGGCGCACAGUUUUAAGGCAGGUGUUGCCGAAAUUUCCACUCACUCAUCUUUUUAAAGUUAAUAAUUAACGUUUAUAUAAAUUCUAUUCCUUUUUCUUUUAUGUAACACCCGAACUUCCUCCCGUCCUUUACGAUUUUGGUUUCGUUAAGGGGUCGGAAAUUUAUGGGUGUUACAUUAGCCUAUUCUAACAUGCUUAUAUACCUAGAGAUGUAUUUACAUUGAGUACAAACGAUAUAACUAUCAAUAUUUACGGCCAUUGACACUGAUUUAUUAAUUCAUAUCGCUAAUCAAAUCUUUAAAAUUGUGGUUUUACCGUUAAACUUUUGAUAUGUUGUUGUGUUCUCAUCCGAAGCAUACUAUACUAGUAAAUUAGUAAUGUAGAGUUUUGAGCACAAAAUUAACACUAUAUAUAUGUAAAGGAAGGGAGCGGAAAAAAAGACUAGAGAGAAAUAUAUUAGUAUUUGUUUGUUCAGAAAAGAAAAGAAAGAAAAGAAAGAGAAAUUAUAUUAUUUUUCUAGGCCUAAUAUUAUAUUUUAUCGACUUUCAUAACUUAGACUAAUCUAACAAAUUCUUUUCAUAUUCCAUCUUGAUCUAUUGUAAAUUGUAACUAUUAACUAUUUCAUUCCUCAUAGAUAGUUGAAUUUAUAGAAGUAUAAGCUACGUGUGCAUGAGAAUACAAAUAAAGAAAAAGAAUAACAAUUGACCUUAAUUGCAAAUAUCAAUUGAAUGUCUGCAAUUUCAAAUCAAAUAAAAUUGUAUUCUCAGAAUUGUCAAGCUUAUUUUCCAGUCUCUAGUUUUUCCUUGCUUCCCUCCCUCAGUUCCAACAAUCGGCCGUAAAACAUUCUAUUACUAGCAGCUUCCACAUAGAUGAUGCUGAUCGAGGAUCAUAUGUACAUAACCUUACAUUUGUAUACAUUUUAACAUGAAGAUUGUAUCCGAAACUUCUUGCUACAAACGUCAUGCAGAAACUUCUCAAACGAAAAACAAGUGAUUACCCAAUAAAGCUCCGGUUAUCACAAAGAAAGAAACUUACAAGGCCUAUUCAAAAAAUGCAGUCCUGAAGGGUCAUUAGUGAGCCAAAGGGUACUAUUGCCGAUGGGUUUAAUAGCAGCAGCAGAUGCAAGAAAAUACUUCCCAACAUAUGUGAUAAGACGAUGCCUGAAAUCAUCAUCGAGACAAUGACGAUUGCCAAGAUGAUUGUGAAGAAAAGGUGUUCAUAAUGAUGUUACACAGAAUUCUAACUGGGAGAAAAUAAGGCAAGUAUUUCAGUAAUUAAAUCUAGAUUGAGAUUUUGCUCAACGUGUGAAAUGAAAGCCUUAAGAGGUUAUCUAAAUAAAAAACAAGAUGAAAAUAACAAAUAAAAUAGUGGAAGAAUGGACACAAUGACUUUAUGAGGUAUCCCUCAACAAUGGUUUGAGAUUCAACAAUACAAAUAAAAAUGAUCCCUUAUAUUGGAGCACAACCUCUCAAGAUCACCAUACUAAUUCAAACAAAGAACACUCAAGUUUCAUACAAAUGAACUAGCCCUCUCACAUGUUGUGUUGUUUGUGGUGAUUGAUUCUAUAAAGGAUGUAUGCUUUAUAUAGAGCUCAUACAUCAUUCUAGAAUCCACUCUUAAUUCACCAAUUAAUACACAAUUAACAUCACACAAAAAAUAUUGCAAUAAACAUCAUGACUUGCGCGUUCGAGCAGCAGCAGCUGCUGGCUUUUGUCCGUCUCUGACUUGGCUGCUCAGACGAUCCAAUGUGGUGCUCGAACGAGUAGCCCCUGCUGCACUCGUCUGGAUUGUUUCACACAUUGUCUUAUUCGAGCAACUAACUCCCCAUCAAGGCAUGGUUCCACGCACUUAGUGAAGCCUCAAACGCCCCACAUCGAUCACUUCAUUGAUCAUUUACAAACCUUAAAAUAUCACAACUUGACACGUCCUUAAAAGUCCUUCUCCAAAAUACAAGCUAAGAAUUAUUCAAUUAUACAUUCAAAGUUAACGUCAUUAUUAGGCGUUUUGGCAGUUACACCAACAUGAAUGUUACUUGACUAGGAAAUAUGUCCAAGGGAAUGCACAAAAUUUAGCUCAUUGAAUAAUCCUAAAGAAAUUAUCCAAAACAAAAUCCGCAACUUCACACAACAUAACUUAAUUCUAGAAUUUCAUUGAAAUUAAAUUUGAUAUUCCUAAAUACGAUGCUUCUCCACUCUAGCAUAUUUUUUUCCUACGAGCAAGUCAAUAAUAGAAUUUCAGUAAAACUAUCUUGUAAAGCAGAAAAACCAAGCAAUUUGCCACCAAAUGAUUAGAUUAAAAACUUGGAGUUCCGGAAAAUUAUCAAUCAAUUCACAACUACUAUUUGCAAUAGAAACAAUAUAUUAGAUAAAUAGAAUUUACAUGAAUAUGUACAUGGAUAUGAAUGAAAUUACCAGUAAAUUUUCAGCAAACACAGGCAAUUUGUAAUGUAACCUUUUCUCGAUCCUCGGUAACCAGUCGAACUACCUUCUAGAAAGCGAAAUGCAAACAAUUGGAAAAAACAAACCAACGAACAACCUCAUAAACAAAAUUAAAAGCCGGAUCAUCAAGAUAAGGAGAAAAUGAAAAGUCAUUCCAAUUAAAUCCACCACCACCAUUGCCGGAACCGCCGAAAUUCCAAUCUCUACCAUCGCCGAAUCCGUCGUAAAAGCUACCGUCAUUUCCUCCGAAGAAUCCGGAAUCACCUUCAUCAUCGGAAAGAGGAGAUUUGAGGCGAGUGCGACGGCGUCUAUUGAGGAGAGUACGGCGAGCAGAAGUACGACAAAAGGGGAGACCUGACAGGAGGAGGUGCGACGACGUCGAUAGAGUAUACGACAGAGGAAGAGAUUUGAUGAGAAUUGAAGAUGGAGAGAUGGUGAGUGGGAGAAAGUGCGUCCGCCACUAAUGAGAGAGAGAUGACGUCCGCCAUGGAUGAUGAUUGAUGAAGCUUGGAAAAGAAAAUGAGGAAGACGUUGAUUCGUUGUAGGGAAAUAUUGUCACGGAAAAACGGAUUUGUUCUAAAGAGGACGACGUCGUAUUGCAUUGUCACAGUUUCACUUGUUUUUGGUGAAGAAAGGAAAAAUCAAAAAUUUUGAAGUCAAAAUUGAGUGACAAAGACAAAAUGGAAUAUUUUGACUUUAUUUUGGUAAAUGGUUUUUUAGUAAAUUUGUAACUUGAUCAAAACUUAAAAAUAAUAAUUUGCUAAUAACAGCAAUAAAAUUUAGCACUUUCGUGAAUUACAGUCUUAAUAUUUAUUUUUUGCAAAUUACUGCUAUUAAAUUAUCAAAGUUUGUAGAUUCAGGCCAAAACACAAAAUUCCGACCAUUUUCGUGGUCGGAAUUUUAAGUCAAGUGAUCGAUGUUCUGUGUUUUUGGCCUAAAUUUGUAAAAUUUGAUACUUUGAUGACUGUAAUUCGCAAAGAAUAAACAUUGAGACUGUAAUUUGCAAAAGUGUUAAACUUUAAGGUUGUAAUUUACAAAUUAUUCGAAUCGAAAUUCUUCGUCACUUUAUGUCUCUACUUCAUUGAAAGCUGGCUUACUUGACAUUUAAUUGCCCCGGGGAAAUGGUACACCAAGCCCAUCAUCGACAUCAAGCAGGAUUUUCUUCAAAGAGAAUGGAUUGUUCUUGUGAGUGAUACCGCAUGAGAGGUAUGCAUUUUAAAAAACUAUGGUCAUGUAUGAAACACCGCAAACCAUAUUCAUUAUGAGGAAUGUGAUUAAAAUUUUUUCUCGGAUAAAAAAAAUCAGCAAAAGAAAGCAAAACAAUACAAGUCAAGAUAAUACAAAAAACACAACAAGAUAAUGUUUAAGAUCAAAAUUAAGGCUAAUAAGAUUAAAAAAAAUAAUUAAAGCAAACAUAAAGGCAAUUACAUUACAAUAAUUAUAUUAAUGAUUAUCUGACUCCCUAGCUUUCUUUUUUGUUUUAAUAGCUAUAUCUUAUAUUUUGUCUUUUAUAUGAGAGUUUUUGAGAAAAAUAUCAUCAUUAUGAUAUUUAGUGAAUUUUCGACCAUAAAAAAAACUGUAAUUAUAGAUUGUUAAUCAGCCUUACUCUUUUUUAAGUGAAAUUAAUAUCAUACAAUGUCUCUUGUUGCAAAGUGAGACUUGAGUCAAAUAUUUAAACUCUAUUUUUGGAAUUUUAAACAUGAGAUGAUGGGUUUUUCAUGAAUUAGUAUGAAGAGUGUGACUUUAUCCUAGUCAAAUAUUUGACACGUGUUUUAUAAUUUAAAUUUAGAGUUUGGCUUUUUGGGUGAAUAAGUUUUGAAAUUUGUUUAAGGAUACUCGUAUUGACUAGCUAAGAAUUAAUCACAUUAAGUAUUGUUGUCAAGUUUUGGUAUCAUCAAAAUAUAUUGGAGUUUAUCUUAGCCCAUCUUAGCUCAAUUGGAGUAUUAGAAAUAUUAGAUUUUUAUUUUUGGCUUAUUGUUCCACUUUAUUUUGCGUAUAUACUUUAUAUUGGCAUAUGUAUGAGUACUGAAUAAGCUAAAGCUAUACAUAAAGGUUCGAGGUUCUAUUAAUCUUUAGUUCCUUCCAUGCUCAUUAUCGGUUUUAUAAUUUUCUUUAUCUAUUUAUCUUCCUCCUCACAUACAGUCUCCACUGAUGUAAUUUCUUCUUGUAUUUAUUUCAGUUUUAACUUUAUAACUCUAUUAUCUAUUAAACAUAAAUAUAUAACACUAGCCUAAAAAGAUUACGUAACCAUGUUGGUGAUACUCAUAAUAUUUGUUAUAAUCGUUUUUUAUUAAUUUUUCUCUUAAUCUUAUGUUAUUACACACCUUCAAGCUACUUUUUCAAUUCAUAAUGUCCACCAAAUUUAUAUCUUCUGCACUUAUCUCUAAUUUUAGAGUAUGCGUUAUUCUUAUCAGACUCAACAAGUCCAAGUCAAA